AAGUAGUAGAGCAGAGGUUUGGCCAUUCCUCCUUGGAGUGUAAGCAUGCUUAACUCUGUUUCAUUCCUAUAAAUAUUGUUAUAAUUGUUUUCAUUGCUGCCGUUGUCUCGUAUUCCAGUGAUCAACCCUUGAACAUGUUAUAUCAAAUAUUGCCAUUUUUUUCCUUCUUUUGGUGGUGGGAGGAGGUGUUCUCUUUGAUACUACAUUGGGGAGGGUUUUAAUCAAUUUCCUCUCCACAUCCAGAUACUAUGAAUUAGGGUUCAAUUAUGCAUAUGUUCUGGCAUUUGGAAGCAGCAUCUUAUCGGUUAAUUUCUCCUUAUCUAUUUCAGUUCUGCACAAUGUUAUUUUUGAUAGUGAGAUUCUACUUUCUGUAGCCAAACUUUUAUUUUUGUACAUUAAGAAUUGCCAUAUCCGGAAAAAUUGCGUUGGAGAUGCUUUUUAUUUUUUGCCUAUACUGUUGCAUUUUUCUUAGGGAAUGUCAAUAUAAUGACUGAUUUCUUCACUUUCUGUAAACAGCUAUGACUUGAACAGUUCAAAAAAAGAAAGAGACGAUAUUAGAAACCGGAACAGGUACAUUUAACAAUCUGCUUCUUCCUUUAAGAUGCUGUGAAUCUAAGAUAAGUUGACUGGUAGUUUUUCAGUCCUAGAUGCUGUAUCCUUUUUCUUUGGCUUUUAUUCUUGGCUUCCUUCUUGACAAUGUGUGCUACAGGAAGAAAUAUGAGGAGCUCCGUAGACAGUGCCUGCAGCUUCUCAAAUGCAGCGAUGAGAGCUUGAAGUUGAAGGAGAGUGGUGAAACAUUCAGUAAUGGGGAUGAUAGAGGCUCUGAAUCACCUGAUUCAGACUCCUCUGUAGACCCUCAAGCUGUCAUACAGGGUUCCCCUUCUUCAGAAGGCCAAGAAGAAAAUCAGCCUUCCAAGGAGAAAGGGACUGAGCCCCAAUCAAACGAACCUGCCACUGAGAAUUUUGCCACAUGGCAGCGGAUCAUUCGUGUUGAUGCAGUGCGUGCAAAUGCAGAAUGGAUACCUUUCUCCCGAUCUCAGGCUUUAGUGACAGAGGAUAGAGCACUCCGUGCUGCAAAGGCUGUUGGAUUAAAGGACUACGAUCAUCUGGAACCCAGCAGGAUUUUCCAUGCUGCCCGAUUAGUUGCUAUUCUUGAAGCCUAUGCA
rnacentral:misc_RNA from 1 species